AGGACGAACGCUGGCGGCGUGCUUAACACAUGCAAGUCGAGCGGAAAGGCCCUUCGGGGUACUCGAGCGGCGAACGGGUGAGUAACACGUGAGUAAUCUGCCCCUAGCUCUGGGAUAGCUCCGGGAAACCGGGAUUAAUACCGGAUACGACCACUUUAGACAUCUGUUGUGGUGGAAAGAAUUUUGGCUAGGGAUGAGCUCGCGGCCUAUCAGCUUGUUGGUGGGGUAACGGCCUACCAAGGCGACGACGGGUAGCCGGCCUGAGAGGGCGACCGGCCACACUGGGACUGAGACACGGCCCAGACUCCUACGGGAGGCAGCAGUGGGGAAUAUUGCGCAAUGGGCGAAAGCCUGACGCAGCAACGCCGCGUGAGGGAUGAAGGUCUUCGGGUUGUAAACCUCUUUCGAGCAGGGACGAUUGUGACGGUACCUGCAGAAGAAGCUCCGGCCAACUACGCGCCAGCAGCCGC
rnacentral:rRNA from 1 species